rnacentral:lncRNA from 12 species
AAAUACUCUAAAGUUUAAUAUUUAUAUAAAUUAGAGUUUACAUGUAUUGGUAAUUAAAUGAGACUGUUGAAGUCCAGAGCACACAAGUGCGUAUUGUACAGCUUAAAGUGUCCAUUUGGGACAGGUGGGGUCUGAUGACGGAGCGCGCGCGCGCACGCGACGGAUCAGCAGGAUGGCAGGAGCAGGAGCGCGUUCCCGAGUUAGUGCUCGCGGCUGAGAGUGACCCAUCAUCAGGAGCUAUGCUGUCUCUAUCAAACACUGCAUCCCUGCGCCUGUGGCCCGCACACCACCGCUGAAGCCCGAGUAUGCCAUCAUCCCGCUCCCGCUGCUGGAAGCUCCACACAUAUGUGCAGAAUGUACUUCAACAGACGCUCGAAGAAGAUCCACAGCGAGGGAGAACAGUUAGUGUUGACCAUACUUAGCCAGGACUCCCCCCUCCGACAGGACCAGCCCAUGGGCUCCAACAUGUGCUCCCGCCUGGCAGACAGGUUUGAGAAAAGUGAGUGCCCCUCUCAAGUGGGCCGCUGCCUCCCGCGAUUGCUUGGAGCCUCACAGGUGCAUGAAGCCACCCCUUCCUUCAGCCCACACUGCAUGGAUAGACUAAUAAAGCUAACGUUCUCUGCACUCUUUCAUCACAUGCACACAGACACGGCAUGCAUUAGGGCUGGGCGGUAUGACGGUAUAUAUUGUGGCGACGAUUUCAAGUGUGUAUUGUUAGAGAUACUGCGUUAGAUGUUAGAGUGGUAAAGAAACGUGUGUGAAACCAAAAAUAUAGAGCGAGAACUGCUUGAUGUUAGAGUUAUUGAAUGCUUGAAUGGUCAAAUGCGCACAGGUUUAUGUUAAAACAUCCAUUGAGUGGAGUAGUUUUGUAAACACAGUGGGUUAUGUCUAAGUGAAUGUAAUAAGUUGGGAGAAAAUCAUAUGUGUAUCAAUAUAUUAGAUCCGUGCGUGAGGUCUUAAAGGAAUAGUUUUAAAGGAAUAGUUCACCCUAAAAUGAAACUUGUUGAUAAUUUAACUUCACUUGCUCACCAGGGGAUCAUUUGCAGUUAAUGGGUGCCAUCAGAAUGAGAGUCCAAACAGCUGAUAAAAACAUCACAAAAAUCUACAAGUAAUCCACACGACUCCAGUACAUUAGUUAAUGUCUUGUAAAGUGAAAAGCUGUGUGUUUAUAAGAAACAAAUCCAUCAAGAUGUUUGAACUUUAAUCUGUUCCUUUUAGCGAGCCCAUAAUUCAUAAUAACACUUCCUCCUUUGAAAAAGUCCAUCCCCUGUUGUCCUCUCACAUCAAAAUCUAUUGACAUAUUUGUUUUGAUCAAUUUUGGACUGUUUUUGCCUUUAAAAGAUGCUUGAUCUUUGCAUAUUUCUGUCCUGAUUCAGACAAGACAACUUUUUCACUGGCAUGUUAUUAGUUAAAUAUGAGUUAAAAACAUAUUAAAGAUGAAUUGUUUUCUU